GAUGAACGCUGGCGGCGUGCCUAAUACAUGCAAGUCGAGCGAAGCGGGGACGGGUGAGUAACACGUGGAUAACCUCCUAUAAGACUGGGAUAACUUCGGGAAACCGGAGCUAAACCGGAUACUUAGAGAUGGAUCGGCGCUGCAUUAGCUAGUGGGUAAGGUAACGGCUUACCAAGGCAACGAUGCAUAGCCGACCUGAGAGGGUGACCGGCCACACUGGAACUGAGACACGGCCCAGCCUCCUACGGGAGGCAGCAGUAGGGAAUCUUCCGCAAUGGGCGAAAUCCUGCCGGAGCAACGCCGCGUGAGUGAUGAAGGUCUUCGGAUCGUAAAGCUCUGUUAUUAGGGAAGCGGUACCUAAACAGAAAGCCACGGCUAACUACGUGCCAGCAGCCGCGGUAAUUC
rnacentral:rRNA from 1 species